AGCGACUAAGCGUACACGGUGGAUGCCCUGGCAGUCAGAGGCGAUGAAGGGCGUGCUAAUCUGCGAUAAGCGCCGGUAAGGUGAUAUGAACCGUUAUAACCGGCGAUACCCGAAUGGGGAAACCCAGUGUGAUUCGUCACACUAUCAUUAACUGAAUCCAUAGGUUAAUGAGGCGAACCGGGGGAACUGAAACAUCUAAGUACCCCGAGGAAAAGAAAUCAACCGAGAUUCCCCCAGUAGCGGCGAGCGAACGGGGAGGAGCCCAGAGCCUGAAUCAGCAUGUGUGUUAGUGGAAGCGUCUGGAAAGGCGCGCGAUACAGGGUGACAGCCCCGUACACAAAAGCGCAUGUGCUGUGAGCUCGAUGAGUAGGGCGGGACACGUGGUAUCCUGUCUGAAUAUGGGGGGACCAUCCUCCAAGGCUAAAUACUCCUGACUGACCGAUAGUGAACCAGUACCGUGAGGGAAAGGCGAAAAGAACCCCGGCGAGGGGAGUGAAAAAGAACCUGAAACCGUGUACGUACAAGCAGUGGGAGCCCCACCACCAAAGCAUUUGCUGUACCGCGUUGACGGAGCGAAGCGACGUCAAACCGAUAAAACAGCAGUGUAAAGUGAGCCGCAGGGCGCUUUGCGCGACAGCGCAAAGGCAGGCGGUUUCGCGUAGCGAAAGCGAAUGCUUUGGGGUGGGGUGACUGCGUACCUUUUGUAUAAUGGGUCAGCGACUUAUAUUCUGUAGCAAGGUUAACCGAAUAGGGGAGCCGGAGGGAAACC
rnacentral:rRNA from 1 species